GUUGAUAUUUUUAACUAAACUUUAUUUCAAAAACUUAAAACAUAUUCAUUAAUAAAACUAUAAGCACCUAUAAAUCGGCCAAUCAAAUUUAAGUAAGAUAAAAUACGAAUUCAACUGAACAUUUAUAGGGCUGCCAUCUUGGAUAUUUUGCUUUUCUGAUUUUGUAUCCUAUGUGUUCAAACAUGAAACGAAAAUUAAGAAUUUUAAAUAAAUGUUAUCUUGAACUCACAAUUUCUUGAAAAAUAUUACUAGUUUCAGAUAUUGUAAGCUUCUAGAAAUAGAAUUUUAGAAAACAAAAAUAAUUUGGAAAGCAUUUUAUGAAGUGGGAUAAAAAAAAAAAACAACUCAAAAUUAGCUACAAUUGGCCUUAUAAUCUCUUUUUCUUCACGCAAAUUACUAUGACUCAGUCACUCUACCAAUUUAAGAUGGAACUGCUGGACAUGCACAACAACUAAUAAAUAAAUAUGAUCUAGUCAUUGCUAUUUAAUAUAUUUUAUUUUACACUAAAAAGAAAAAGACUUCAAGGUGUGUCAACGACCUAAGGAUUGAGUUGAAAGCUUAAAAUCAGAAGAGGAGAGUACAAAAUGAUAUAUAUUUCAAGUAUUUCCAACUAUGUAAUGACAAAGUGUAAAAAAACAGGUGUGCCAUUUGAGCAUGAUAUACCAAUAACUACAGAUCAACAUAUCUAUCAAUAUAUAAAUAACAAAGGAGGUAGCCGUUACUUGUUAUUAUGCUAUAAAAUUUCAUUGAAUUGGUGAAAGAAAUUUGAAAAAAAAAUGUCAAGUAGUUUCACAAAUAAAGGUUAAAUAAGCCUUUCGAAACAAAAAGUCAAAAAACUAUCAAAAUCAGAAAAGAGAACCCAACAUU
rnacentral:lncRNA from 1 species